GGUUAAUGGAGAAUACCGAUGUGAAAAUCCGAAUUUGCAAAAUUAUUUAAGGAAAACAGUAGAAUUACUGUGUAAUUUUGGAGAAGCUGAGUUUGAACAUAUGAGCAGGCAGAAAAAUGAAAAAGCAAAUGAACUAGCUCAGUCGGCUUUAGGAUAUAGAAAGCCGAAAUCAAAAUCAAUAGUAAUACAGAGAAGGCUAUUACCUUCGGUUCAUGUACGAGAGACGAUUAUAGCUC
rnacentral:lncRNA from 1 species